UCACCCAAGAGAGCACCGUUAAAUCAAUACAUCAAUAUUCAUUUUCGUACAAUAGAACAAUAUGAAAUGUGGCUCUGGACACAAUCAUUUGCAAUACACACUGCACCUCGCAGUAACAAGAUUAUACGCAACUUGCGCAGCAUUGCUGUGCCUCGUUACCUUUUUCAACCUCCGUGGAUGACGACGUGACGUAAAAAAGAUGGAAAUAGAAAGAGGUAAAGUCAACCACGGUUGAGAUCUUGAUUGAUUGACGAAUUGAGAUCUUUGGAACAGGGACAUCAGCGACAUGAAGGAACAACAAAUUUAGAGAAGCAAGAUAUUCCCCACCCGUGGUCUUAUUUCAGGAAGUUCUCGAUUCCAAUAACAAUUUGAAGCAAAUUCAUAGUGCCUUAUGCCAGCCUAAAAACGACUAGCAUUUCUUUGAAAGGUUCUGCCUUUGAAAAAAAAUCUCCAUCUCAUCUGAACCCCCUGUAUGCCGAUAUGGAGGGGGUAUAUGGCUAUUUUUCUGUCCCUCCUCUGGGGAAUCUGACCGCAACUACAUACAACUUGAGAUCACCGACAGGCUGCUGGUGGUGCAGCAGGCGGCCGACAUACAGUAAAAACUGUCCCAGUUUGGUGAGUAUUUUGGAGUGGUGAUCGCAAAGCCCUGAUAUCGAUCCUAUUGAAGACUUAUGGACAAACCUGAAAAGAGGCCUCCAAACCUGGCUCAGUUUCACCAGAUCUGUCAGGAAAAAUGGGCCAAAAUUCCUGCCAACUAUUGUGAGAGGCUUGUGGAAGGACAUCUAAAACGUUUGACCCAAAUCAUACAGUUUAAUGGCAAUGGUACCAAAUACUAAGGAAAUGUAUGUUAACUUCUGACUUUGAAGAAACUCAUGAAAAAUUGUCUAAAAGGAUCCGUAUCUCAUUAUUUUGGCAUUUAGCAAAUGCAAAUAAUGUUGGUAAUCCCAAUUGACCUAAAACAAGAAAGGUUUAGUCCGAUUUCAUUUCAGAAAGUGAGAGGGAAAAAAACCAGAUUUUUAUAUAGUAUACUAUACAGUAUGUGAACUUCAGGUUUCAACUCUGUUCAUAUUAUACUGAAAUGAUUUUUAUCUUGUGUGAGCCAGAGUAAGAGAUUCAUUAUGUGUUGCCCGUCUCAUCCGGAAAGUGAGGUUUCAUUGCUUUUAUUUGCAUAAUGAUUCAUCUUGCACCCGCAGCAGCCCCAGAUGGAGUGAUGCAAUGAUUUAAAAAUGUAUCGGCGGAAUUAAUGAGCACAUCGUGUGUAAAAGAGUGUGUAGCUCCCUCCCUUAGAAGGUUCCGGUGGGAAUUGCCGCUGACAUACGUUACAAAGUUCAGUCACCUUCAAGUAAGGUAAGAAAAAGAGACUACACAAGCGUAGUCACAGUGACUACGCUUGUAAAUGAAAACACUCGUAUCUCAAAUCAAGUAUCUCAAAGGGAAAGGCCAUUAUAAUCUGUUUCAGCGUCACCAAAAAAACCAAAACACUUUUUGGUAAAUGACACUCUAUAAUACUCCAUUUUAAAAAUAUACAGUAAUGACAUAAUCUAUCCAUCCAUCCAUUUUUUUUUACCACUUAUCCUCACUAGGGUCGGGGGCUGCUGGAGGCUAUCCCAGCUAUCUUCGGGCGGGAGGCGGGGUACACCCUGAACCGGUCGCCAGCCAAUUGUUGACAUAAUAGAAUGUAAAGUUUUUUUUCUUCAUUUUUGCUUCAAAUCAAUCACCAUUGUGGUGCUCCUUCUGGUGUGCACACCUUUGCCACCUGGUGGCAGUGUAAUGCAAACAAUCAAACAAAGAACUUUUACAAGUACGUGGUUCAGUAAGCUGCGGUGAUAUUUUUCACAAAGGGAUGUAAGACUGAGUCUUGUUAUGUCUGUCUGCAUGUGUUGCUCCAUCAUUUGUGUUCAAAUAUCUGUAUCUUAAAGGCUUAUAAAACAGCAACAAUGAUGCUAUUCAAUAGCCCGUCUAUGGCCUUUUGCAUUGCUAUUCGCAUUAAUCUAAACAGACCGUCAUCAGGCGAAGUUAUGUGGUUGUUUUAAAUACAAAAUUUGUACUUCUUUGUUUUUUGUUUAAUUUGAAAGUAAACAAACUGGGAGUGGCAAUAAACAUCUUAAAGCCUGUUUUUAAAGACUUGUUAACUAUCUGCCAAACUGCUGCUGCUGAAGUGAGUUGAGUUCACUGCCACCCUACAGCACUCAAAUUUUAUAUAAUCUAGCUUGGCCUGUGAGUGUAGAUCUCAUUUUGUGCGAACAAAAUGAGCUUUAACAGUCAUUUAUCAUCACCAUCAGCGAUACAAACAUGACCAACAAGUGCUUUAGUUUAGAUGUGUAACAAUAGUAAUUCAACUGUUGUAGAAGCAGAUAUUAGUCUACUUUUGCUUGUGUCUGAUAUGGAGGAAAUAUCCCAGCAGCUCUUAUUUUUGGAGACUGCCGCUGCAGUGUGAGUGCUUGCGCCAGUUUAUCCACACACUGGACACACUGAGAGUGUUUAGCUGUCAGGAAGUCCUUAAAUAUUACACAAGUUUUGUCAGUGUCGAUGUUUUCUACCGGGAGGACCCGGAUUGGCUGCAGUUUCCUUAGAGUUUGUAUACACUGACGUUCCCUUUAAUUUCCUGUUGAUGUGGCUCAUAGAUUUGGUUUCCUGCUUAUGUUGGAAAGAUAAUCUUGGUGCCAAUUCACUGAGUGAGAAUUUCCUCACACCAGCUACACUGUCGGGUUUUACACUCACAGUCUCGCUAAUGCAUGUUGUUUUUAUUUGAGGUUUAAGAAUAUUUUAUAGAAUGAAGGCGUUAAUGGGAGAAAAGUGCAAGAAGUUGCAUGGCGAAAUGUUCUACAAUAAUAUAAUAAACACUGGAAACACCAAGAGUUGUCUGCAGUAUACAAGGUUCUCUGAUGCUGCCUCGAAAAAAAUCAAGGCACCCUGUAAUCACAAACAUACAUUUGUGUACAGUUACUUAGAACAGGAUGUUCAAAAUAACCUUUGACAGUGAGCCCCAUGCUGCUUCACCACAACUAAACACAACUAAACACAAAGACAAAAGUCGCUCUCAAAGCUGUAGCUUUGUCAGUCUCGAGGCGGGAGCGCAAGCAGUUACUAAGAUAUGACUUGUGAAUUGAAAAUCAAUGCAAUAAAGCGAAUAAUGAAUAUAAUAGCGCAGUAUAUAUUGUAAUACAAUUCCCAUUGCACAUUUGAGAAGAAAACAUCUUCUGAUUUACCAUUAACAGUGCAGUGGAAGGAGUCUAGCUAGCUGACGAGAAGUAGCAAAGCAAAAAAAAAAAAAAAAAAAAAAGAAGCCAUUUUCAUUUCAUUCAAAGGUGAAAUGUGUGACCCUGGAAGCAAUCUAAAGCAUCUGUCACUCCUUUCCUGUGCAGCCUCCUCUUAUAAAAGUGGAAAAUCAGCAACAGUUCUCCACAAAGCAAAUGUCUUCGCUCCGUGCCUGUAAACAAUCAUUUGCAUUAGUACAAAAUGUAAUGAUUUUCAGCAGGCCCGAUUAUACACAAAUGCUGUCAGCGUGUAAGCCCUGGGUAACAGAAGUGCACACAGCAGCAGCCGGCGCUGACAUUGGAGUGCACUCCUCCAAGAAUGGAUGAGUUUGACCUCUUGAGCACUUGACAUUUUUUGACCUGCAGCAAGAGAAAUACAUUCAUAACACAAAAGUGUUAUGUUAAGGAUGAAAGCGGGGCCGUGGCUGCCUUUACGGCGUCGUAUUCAUCAUAUUCGGAUACCCUCUUAAUUUUAUUACCUCUGUCAAGGAGGUUAUGCUUUCUUUGGUGUGGGUUAAUUCCUGUUUGUUUGAGUCCUAUUUACACGUUUUAAUAUAUCAACCUGGAUUUGCUAUCCAUCACUUGCAUGUACAGACACAAUAUGUACAGUAUUUUCUAUACAUUUUGUACUCGCAAUUUUUUCUUGUUCAACUAUCUUUGCAAUGUUUUCAAAGUGUGUUUUAGUAUGUACAUGCAUUCAAAGCGUGUGGGAGUUUUUUAAAAUUAUGAUCUCUAAAGCAGGUUUUCACCUAUUGCAGGUGGGUCUUAGAUGCCUCCCUUUGUGAUAAACGGGGGUUUACUGUUUCCAAUUUCAAGUGACACAUAUCCAAUAUGGUGGCGUGAACACAUAAACAACCAGUCUGGGUAGAUGCUGGUCAUGGGUGAGCUGGACCCUAUUCCAGCUGACCUUAGGCGAGAGAUUGGAUACACCCUGGACUGGUGGCCAGCGAAUUGCAGGGUACAAAUAGACAAACAACCAUUGACAACUUGACGAUUUCAUCUUUAAUGAACUUGACAUGUAUUUGUGGAGUGAAAAACUCACGCAAGCAUGAAGAGAACAUGCAAACGCCACAAGGAAGGCCAGCACUGAGAUUCGAACCCUGAACCUCAGACCUGAGAGGCAGACCUGCAAACCAGUUGUCUCCUGUGCUGUCGUCGCUUGACCCAUGCAGUGUACAUCCAGACAGAAGUUGAAAUCCUAAAAACGAGGUCAACCAGCAACCUUGAAUGAAAUGUGUUGGAUCUCAGAGGUUCCACUGCGUUCUUCAUAUCGCUAUCAAGAGAGGAGUGGAAAUAGGUUGAGUUUGAUGAUCCAAAUGCAGCAUCAAAAUUGAACUUCUCCUGCCAGAUGAGCUGCUGACUGCUGCGGGCACGCAUGCCACACAGCACACUUAAGUGGGUCAGGAAAGUGAAACCUCAGACAUGACAAGCAGUCCACCUCAGACAUGACAAGCAGUCCUCCGGAGGCAGAGGGAUGCAGAAGGUCAAACGUACUCUUACUCAGGCCCCCUCACAUGCCAGACACCUCAGGGAAUGUGGUUCUGGAUGGAUUAGCCAGUUUUAACAUUUACUGGAUCACCUGGAGGGCUGGAACAAAACACGGCAGCGUCCUUGAUGCAGCAAGCUUUUUAUUUAUAGUUUACUUGUUAGGUUCAAGCACCCACGACCCUGAACAGGAUAAGCAGUGGAGGAAUUGGAUUGAUGGAUGGAUGUUUUAACAUAUUCUAAAUCUGACAGUCCUUUACGGCUGGCUCACCAAAUUGGUGUCUGUCUGCCUUUUUGUAUUGGGGUGUAGCUCGUAACUUUUACCCCACUACCUUAUAGGAUUUCUCCUCAGAGUUCUGCAUUACUAAACAGCAAAGCCUGAAGGGCAUUAUUUCCAAUUAUUUUGAAGUUAUCCCGAUUUAUUUCAACAUGCAAAUCAUCUGCCACUCCUGUUAGGUUGUUUUUCCUUCACUGAAAGAAUCACAACAGAAGCUUCCAGCGACUUUUUCAACCUUUGGGUCCCUAUUUACUGAAUGCGAUGGCUGCUGACAAGAAAUGCUAUCUUUAUCCAUAGCAAAGCAAUUUAGAAACUUUGCUUGCUACUUGUCUCCUAUGUUGAAACUUCUAAAACUGUUAUUGUAUUGUCAAAACACGAAAGGUCUUCAGAAAUCAUCUUCAGAAACGGUGAGGUGUCACAACUCUGUAUGGACUAUUGAUUUUCCGACUCCAACAAUAAAGCCCAACUCUGAAAUGUAAAAACAAGAGUCACACUAUUUUCUGUCGUGGAAGUGUAUUGCAUGUUUCUUGACCUUUUGUCCACUUCAGAAGAAGCAGACAACGAAACAAUCAAAUUCCAAAAGGCCAGAGUACACCUUUUUUUUCUUUUGUACAACAUCAAAGCAGCUAUAGAUGCAU